UACGUAGGGUGCAAGCGUUGUCCGGAAUUAUUGGGCGUAAAGAGCUCGUAGGCGGUCUGUCGCGUCGGCUGUGAAAACCCGAGGCUCAACCUCGGGCCUGCAGUGGGUACGGGCAGACUAGAGUGGCGGUAGGGGAGAUUGGAAUUCCUGGUGUAGCGGUGGAAUGCGCAGAUAGUCAGGAGGAACACCAAUGGCGAAGGCAGAUCUCUGGGCCGUAACUGACGCUGAGGAGCGAAAGCAUGGGGAGCGAACAGG
rnacentral:rRNA from 1 species